CGACGCUACCGAGGGCGCUUAGCCCUUGACUAUCACCUUGACUACGUGCACCUUUUGUUGUUUCCUCGGCAGGUCACCUGCCGCCAGGAACCCCCUAAACCUUUUGUAAUAGCAUCCAAACUUCUGAAAACAAAUCAAAUUAUUUACAACUUUUAACAAUGGAUCUCUUGGUUCUGGCAUCGAUGAAGAACGCAGCGAAAUGCGAUAAGUAGUGUGAAUUGCAGAAUUCAGUGAAUCAUCGAAUCUUUGAACGCACAUUGCGCCCCAUGGUAUUCCUUAGGGCAUGCCUGUUCGAGCGUCAUUUACAAAUUCAAGCUCAGCUUGGUGAUGGGUGUCUGUCCCGCCUCUGCGCGUGGACUCACCUCAAAUGCAGUUGGCAGCUUAUCCCUCGGCUCUAAACGCAGCAGAUUUGCGUCGAGCGUCGUGUGGACGGGUUCACCAGUAAGCAAACCCCCCAAAAUUGACCUCGGAUCAGGUAGGGAUACCCGCUGAACUUAAGCAUAUCAAUAAGCGGAGGA
rnacentral:rRNA from 1 species